UCCUGUAGAGGUAGGCUUGGUUCCAAUCGUCUUCGUCUUCGUCUCCUUCGCAAGCGCUUGGUUCCAAUCGUGCUGGUUUCACUGCUUACCGUCGAGUCGACUGCUUGUCACUCGAAUCGGACAGUUGAUUUAUCCCCAGCCAAUGCAAACCCGGAACUCCCCUCGCCUCCUCGUCGGAACUCGAGCAUCGAUAAUGGCGGACAAAUUGUCAGGAAGAAGAAGGAAUCGAGACAUUUCUCUAGUUCUUCUUUUUCUCUAUCUUCUUUUUCAUCCCAACAGAAAGGCUUGCGCAUCACAAUUAAAAGCUGAACUCCUCAAGCAUUUAUUCGAUGUAGUCGGCGCGAUGAGAACUAUUUCGAUGCACUGGCGCUUCCUCUGGGGAUGUCGAUUGCCUCCGUUGUUUUGUAGGUGUUGGAUACUAAUGAUGCAGCAGGGGAUAGGAUUUCUGUAGAUCACCUUUCAAAGCUGCCUAUCCAGGAGGUUCUCUAUCCAGAUUGUUGAAAUAAUUGGUGCUUUGAAAGAUGAAGCCUGCAAGUCACGAUUUUCACCCUGGCAUUGAAGGAAUCCUUAGCCAACGUAAGGCAAAACCAGAACCUAAACUGCUAACUCAUCCAUCUACUUUUUCUGGUAGACAUUUCUUUUUGGUGGGGUGGGGUGGGGUGGAAGGGAAUUUAACUGCUGGAUAAUCCACAUGUUCUUAGGUUUUUAGUUAAAUUUUACAUUUUUAGUGUCAAACACUUGAUGUGUCAUAGCAUUUUAGAUGCUGAAGCUAUACCAUAUGGCUUUUAUUGUAUGGACCAUCUUUGGGCAGAUUUUUGAGAAACAGUUUGACAGUUUUGCUAGGAACUUUGACAGAUAAUUUCGGAGCACCCUGUGGACCCUACAGUAGCUCAGUGAAGCAUCUCUCAACAAAGAAAGAGAUGACUUAACUGGUUCAAGUAUGCAAAAUUGUAGUCCUGAAAUGGUACACCCUGCUUCUUUUAACAAGCAACAAGAUCCUUUAAGCAAUUGUUACAGUGACAUGAAAAAUUGUCAUUCUGAAGCCAUCCUUCCGUACAAACUAUUUUCUGAUGUUGAGGAAAUACAAGAGACUGUGAUGUCAGAUUCUAUGAAGCAGGAGCUUGCUCUCAAUGGACAAAUAAACUACCAGCUAGCUUGUGCUGCUUCAAGCACAAUGGGUUCUCAAUUUAAUCAGUCUAUGCUUAGCACCUUUGAAAAAUCUGUCAUGGAGCAAGCCCAUUUCAAUGACCUGAAGACAUUAGAGAUAGGUCUGAUUAUGAAAGGUUUAAAUAAAUCACAACUGGCUCUCAACUCUGAGUCAAAUCAUUUAGAGAGGUUUAAAUUAUCUAUGGGUAUUUCAAAAGCAUCCUUCAAUGCCAAGAAAUUUAAGAAUCAGUUGGAAGACAUAAGAUGUGCAGAGCUGCUGAGCUGCUCAAGAAGUGUGUGGAUUGUCUCAUAGCUGGUCUGAUUAUCAUGUUGGCUUCUCUUGUAUAUGGUGCUUAUGUUUAUUCCUAUGAACAGAUCAUGGAGGCCACUGAAUCCUGUACUUCCUCUCCCAAGGUUAGUGCAGUUUGAACUGCUUAAAAACAUUAUAUAAUAGCAUUGUAUAACACCCUGCAUGCUGUGACCUUGUUCGUCUAAGAAUGAACUUUAUAUGUGCUGAGUAAGCCAUUUUAUCCCAACCAGUAAACUGUAGCUGCCAUCAUGUCAACUGGACGAUACUGAACAUUUGAUUAAUUACCAAUGCAUGUCAAGGAGAAGCUUCCCCAAUUGGACCAUUAUGUGUAUAUGCAACUUUUGGAUUGUGGCUUGCCUAGAGUUGUUUCACUUGUCCAUGAAUGUGAGCUAACCAAAUCAAUGAAAACAUGCUGCAUUAAAAGGAUGAGAGACUAGGUCAUAUC